rnacentral:rRNA from 1 species
AUUGAACGCUGGCGGAAUGCUUUACACAUGCAAGUCGAACGGCAGCAUGGGGCAACCUGGUGGCGAGUGGCGAACGGGUGAGUAAUACAUCGGAACGUGCCCAAUCGUGGGGGAUAACGUAGCGAAAGUUACGCUAAUACCGCAUACGAUCUACGGAUGAAAGCGGGGGAUCGCAAGACCUCGCGCGAGUGGAGCGGCCGAUGUCAGAUUAGGUAGUUGGUGGGGUAAAGGCUCACCAAGCCAACGAUCUGUAGCUGGUCUGAGAGGACGACCAGCCACACUGGAACUGAGACACGGUCCAGACUCCUACGGGAGGCAGCAGUGGGGAAUUUUGGACAAUGGGCGCAAGCCUGAUCCAGCCAUUCCGCGUGCAGGAUGAAGGCCUUCGGGUUGUAAAGGCUCUUUCGGCAGGAACGAAAAGGACUCUCUCUAACAUAGGGGUCGAAUGACGGUACCUGAAGAAGAAGCACCGGCUAACUACGUGCCAGCAGCCGCGGUAAU